ensembl:lncRNA
CACACACACACACACACACACACACACACACACACACACACACACACACACACACACACACACACACACACACACACACACACACACACAUACACACACACACAGACACACGGAUAUACACACAUACACACACACACACACACACAGACGUACGUAUAUACACACACACAGAUGUACGGAUAUACACACACACACACACAGACGUACGGAUAUACACACACACACAGACGUUGGGAUAUACACACACACACAGACGUACGGAUAUACACACACACACACAGAAGUACGGAUAUACACACACACACAGACGUACGGAUAUACACACACACACACAGACGUUGGGAUAUACACACACACACAGACGUACGGAUACACACACACACUCACAGACGUUGGGAUAUGCACACACACACAGACACACACACAGACAGACGGAUAUACACACACACACACACAGAAGUACGGAUAUACACACACACACACAGACGUACGGAUAUACACACACACACACACACACACAGACGUACGGAUAUACACACACACACAGACGACGGAUAUACACACACACACAGACGUACGGAUAUACACACACACACACAGACGUACGGAUAUACACACACACAGAUACGUUGGGAUAUACACACACACACACACAGAAAAGUACGGAUAUACACACACACACAGACGUACGGAUAUACACACACACACACAGACGUAUGGAUACACACACACACAGACGUUGGGAUAUGCACACACACACACAGACGUAUGGAUACACACACACACAGACGUUGGGAUAUGCACACACACACAGACAUACGGAUAUGCACACACACACAGACAUACGGAUAUACACACACACACAGACGUACGGAUAUACACACACACACACAGAAGUACGGAUAUACACACACACACACAGACGUACGGAUAUACACACACACACACACACAGACGUUGGGAUACACACACACACACAGACGUACGGAUAUACACACACGCACAGACGUACGGAUAUACACACACACACACAGACGUACGGAUAUACACACACACACAGACGUACGGAUAUACACACACACACACACAUAAACAGACACACACACACCUCCGUUUGACCUCCAGUCGACAGGCCAUGUCACAGGCUGUCGUCUUGUCUUCAUCUCUGUUGCUCUCAUCUUCUCCUCUAACGCAUCCUCUUCUCCCAUUAACACAUUCUCCUUCUUCCAUCACUGCUAUAUCUGACUCAAAAACCGUGCGCGUGUGUGUGAUUGAUCAUCUCCAGUCGGGCUGUGAUCAGUAAUCAGAGGCAGAGCAUCUUUCAGAACUUUAGUAGCUGUCAUGGUGUGUUUCAUUGUUUGGUCGUGAGUAGCACCAACAGCUGAAGAGAGGAGACUGUUAAGUCACUCUGUCUGUCUGUCUGUCUGGCUGUCUGUCUGGCUGGCUGUCUCUGUCUGGCUGGCUGUCUGGCUGUCUGUCUGGCUGUCUGUCUGUCUGGCUGGCUGGCUGUCUCUGUCUGGCUGGCUGGCUGUCUCUGUCUGGCUGGCUGGCUGGCUGUCUCUGUCUGGCUGUCUGGCUGGCUGUCUGUCUCUGUCUGUCUGUCUGGCUGGCUGUCUCUGUCUGGCUGGCUGGCUGACUGGCUCUCUCUCUCUCUCUCUCUCUCUCUCUGGAAGUGUGUUGUCACUUUCACAGCUCUGCCAGGGACCAUUACAAUAUGGUGACUAGGAACACCACUAGCAACAACGUCUCUAUAUUCACAACAACACAAUCCCUACAUCUCUUCAGAUUUGAUGCAAUUCUAUUGUGCAAAACGCUCCAUUGAGGACUGAUAGGAGAGGGCAGCGUAUAAAUUAAGGGUCAAUAGCACUUCUGAAUUGAGCCUCUGAUUCAAUCCGGGAUUCAAUCCGAUCGCCUCUUUUAGGCUAUGCACCUUUUUAAAGGCAAUGUUCCCCAUGUUCGCGGUGACCACAUUUAUGUUAAACACUGCAUAUGUCAGCUCAAUCAGAAAUUACCUUUAAAUGUCAAAGCAAACUAAUAAAGCAGAGCUAACCGCUGAUUGGAUAGAAUGCCAGAGGGCUCAAUUUGAAAAACAACGUAUUGUCUGUGCACACAAUCAUAGAAAAGAUGGACGCAAUUUAUUUACCUUUAAAACAUGUUCCCUGUCAUUUUAGUUAUGCAACCUUUAUAUGCAGUAUGGAGCAGCUGAUGAUUUCAGCAGAUCUGUGAUUAAUGCGGCUUUUAAAGGUUCACGUUUUUUAAUGUCACGUGCACAAGUAUAGUGAAAUGCCUUUCUGUGUGUGUGUGUGUGUGUGUGUGUGUGUGUGUGUGUGUGUGUGUGUGUGUGUGUGU